rnacentral:rRNA from 1 species
UCAAGCUACUAAGGGCACACGGUGGAUGCCUUGGCACUUCGAGGCGAUGAAGGACGUGGCAAGCUGCGAAAAGCUGCGGUUAGGAGCAAGCAUCCUUUGACCCGCAGAUCUCCGAAUGGGGGAACCCACAUGAGCAAAACUCAUGUAUCUCCGCCUGAAUAAAAUAGGGCGGUUGAAGCAAACCCAGGGAAGUGAACCAUCUCAGUACCUGGAGGAGAAGAAAACAACAGUGAUUCCGCUAGUAGCGGCGAGCGAACGCGGAACAGCCUAAACCAUCAGGGCAUGCUCUGGUGGGGUCGUGGGAUCAGAGUUAGGAGUUACAAAAGCUCAGGUUAGCGGAACGGUUUGGAAAGACCGACCAUAGAACGUGAUAGUCGUGUACGCGAAAACUUUGAGCUCUCCGUUAUGCUCUGACACCCGAGUAAUGCGGGACACGAGGAAUCCUGCAUGAAUUUGCCGGGACCAUCCGGUAAGGCUAAAUACUCCGAAGUGACCGAUAGUGAACCAGUACCGUGAGGGAAAGGUGAAAAGAACCCCGGUGAGGGGAGUGAAAUAGUACCUGAAACCGUGUGCUUACAAGCAGUGGGAGGUCAAGGUUCGUCCUGACUGACCGCGUGCCUUUUGCAUAAUGAGCCGGCUAGUGAAUGUCACAGGCAAGGUUAAACGAUAAGUGAGCCGAAGCGAAAGCGAGUCCUAAUAGGGCGUUCAGUCUGUGGUAUUCGGACGUGAAGCGAGAUGAUCUAUGCAUGGCCAGGCUGAAGCGUGGGUAACACCACGUGGAGGGCCGAACCAGUUUGGGUUGAAAACCAUUUGGAUGAGCUGUGCAUAGGGGUGAAAGGCUAAUCAAAUUUCGUGAUAGCUCGUUCUCGCCGAAAUAGCUUUAGGGCUAGCCUCGGAUGAAUCGUCGCGGUGGUAGAGCACUGAAUGGGCUAGGGGCCUCACAAGGUUACCGAACCCAAUCAAACUUCGAAUGCCGCGAACGCAUAUCCGGGAGUCAGACUACGGGGGCUAAGCUCCGUGGUCGAGAGGGAAACAGCCCAGACCGACAACUAAGGUCCCAAAAUCGUGGUUAAGUGGAAAAGGAAGUAGGGAAGCACUGACAGCCAGGAGGUUGGCUUAGAAGCAGCCAUCCUUUAAAGAAAGCGUAAUAGCUCACUGGUCAAGCAGCCCUGCGCCGACAAUAUAACGGGGCUCAAACCACGUACCGAAGUUUCGGAUUCAUGUAGCAAUACAUGGAUGGUAGGCGAGCAUUCCGUAGCUGUGAAGCGGUACCGAAAGGGCCGUUGGAGCGAUCGGAAAAGACUCUGUCGGCAUAAGUAGCGAUAACGCGGGUGAGAACCCCGCGCGCCGUAAACCUAAGGUUUCCUGAGUAAAGUUAAUCUGCUCAGGGUUAGUCGGUACCUAAGGCGAGGCCGAAAGGCGUAGUCGAUGGAAAUCCGGUUAAUAUUCCGGAACCACUAACGUGUGCUGUGGGAGGACGCAGUAGGGUAGGCGAGACGGCGGAUGGAUGUGCCGUUGAACUCACCAUAGCCCGCCGCUCAGGCAAAUCCGGGCGGCAUCAGGGUAAAGGUAGGGACGAAAGUAGGGGUAAAACCCGAAAAAAGUCGCUGACCCCAGCUGCCAAGAAAAUUCUCGUUCAGCUAUACACGCGACGUGACCGUACCGCAAACCGACACAGGUAGGUGGGGUGAGAAUCCUAAGGCGCUUGUGAGAACUCUCGUUCAGGAACUCGGCAAACUAGCCCCGUAACUUCGGGAAAAGGGGUGCCAUCCUCCGGGAUGGUCGCAGAGAAAUGUCCCAGGCGACUGUUUACUAAAAACACAGGUCUCCGCAAAGUCGUGAAGACGACGUAUGGGGGCUGACGCCUGCCCAAUGCUGGAAGGUUAAGAGGAGUGGUCAGCCGCAAGGCGAAGCUACGAAUCGAAGCCCCAGUGAAUGGCGGCCGUAACUAUAACGGUCCUAAGGUAGCGAAAUUCCUUGUCGGGUAAGUUCCGACCUGCACGAAUGGCGUAACGAUCUGGGAGCUGUCUUAACGAGAGGCACAGCGAACUUGUAGUACCGGUGAAGAUGCCGGUUUCCCGCAUCUAGACGGAAAGACCCCGUGCACCUUGACUACAACUUGAUAGUGGGUUCGGGCAAACGAUGCGCAGGAUAGGUGGGAGGCUAUGAACCGAGGCUUUCGGGCUUCGGGGAGCCAACGGUGAGAUACCACCCUUCGUUUGUCUGGACUCUAACCUAGAGCCGUAAUCCGGUUCAGGGACACUAUCAGGCGGGUAGUUUGACUGGGGCGGUCGCCUCCCAAAUUGUAACGGAGGCGCUCGAAGGUUGGCUCAGGCUGUUUGGAAAUCAGCCGUAGAGUGUAAACGCAUAAGCCAGCUUGACUGUGAGACAAACAAGUCGAACAGGUACGAAAGUAGGAGUUAGUGAUCCGGCGGUUCUGUAUGGAAGGGCCGUCGCUCAACGGAUAAAAGGUACGCCGGGGAUAACAGGCUGAUCCUGCCCAAGAGUUCACAUCGACGGCAGGGUUUGGCACCUCGAUGUCGGCUCAUCGCAUCCUGGGGCUGAAGAAGGUCCCAAGGGUUUGGCUGUUCGCCAAUUAAAGCGGUACGUGAGCUGGGUUUAGAACGUCGCGAGACAGUUCGGUCCCUAUCUGGUGUGGGCGGAGCAGGUUUGAGGGAAUCUGUCCUUAGUACGAGAGGACCGGGAUGGAUCCACCUCUAGUGUACGAGUUAUGGCGCCAGCCGUAGCGCUCGGUAGCUAAGUGGAGCAUGGAUAAACGCUGAAUGCAUCUAAGCGUGAAGCCAGACCCAAGAUUAGACCUGCCAGUGAGACUCCUUGUAGACCACGAGGUAAUAGGGUGGAUAUGUAAGCGCAGUAAUGCGUUCAGUUGACCACUACUAAUCAGUCCCAUGGCUUGACCAU